AUCCAGCGCGGCGGCCGCGUCAACCGCACCUUUUCGCCGGGCGGUCGUCUACGGCGGUGGAGUUGUUGGGGCCAGCACGGCCUAGUUCCUGCCCUAACGUCCCGACCCUCCUCGAGAAAUCCGCCCCCGCCUGUGUCGUCUCCGGCAAGGCCAGCGGAUUUCUUGCCCUCGAUCGGGUCCGACUCUAUCCCCGAGCUCUCGACGCUCGCGCGCCUCCUGUCCUCUCCUCGGACGCCUCGCCAGUGCCCUCUACGGCGCCAACGCGGGCUUCCGUCCCGUCCACACCCUCUCGAUUUGCAUCCCCUCCCAGCCCGCUGUGCCCGCGUCGACCCACCAGCUCCUGCCUUCCUGGGUCGGCCCUCCGCUUCAGCAGCACCGGCAUGCAUGCUCGGAACCCCGAACACCACUGCGCAGGUCCAUCCGGUCAUCUUCACAAAGGACAUCCACUAUCCUCUUAAUUAGGCCCAGCCUACUAGAGGAAGGCUAUAGCGAUGACGAUGACGGAGCUGCUCUGGCGAGCGGUCGCAUAGUCGUAGGGGCUCCUCAGUCAAAGCUGCUCACAACUACCGUGGCUGCAACCGCUAGGAGAUGGAAGAGGGUGGUGAGCUUCAGGAGAAGGGAGAGGCGGCCACCGGCCGCCGACAGCACUAACUCAGCGUCCAUGUCCAGCAGCAGUAGGAACAACUUCAACAGCCGGGACUAAACCUAUUUCCCGUAGUCGCUGGCACGCUCACUGCCAUGCCUAGAGCUGAAAAUGAGUUGUAAGAUGACAAUGUGGCAGCUGCACCAUGAUUACUGGAUCACCACGGAUUCCGACUGUAAACUAGCUAACCAUAUUGCACCUUUAAUGUUCUGAUA